GCGAGGCCACGCCUCCUAAAGGAGUCGAAGAUUCAGCGCCUGUUGUAGACCUCCGGCCGCCCUUGAAAGCACUAGUCUCGUCGACGAGUUCCAGAGGAACAAACCUACUCCCCUAUUAUUGAGCUACGUUUGCUAUGCUAGCCUUCUAGAUGAUUGAGGGCUCGCAGAAGGCUCUUUCUGCCUAGCCCGUUCUCCCCUAAAGCGGUCAGAGCGUGAAUCUCUCCCACUUCACGUCGUUUUCCUGACAAGGUAGCACCAAAGCAGCACUGUUUGGGAUAAGUGCAGUGAACACCAGCAAAUUUUUAUGGAGAACUUCUUGGGCCAGGCGCUAGGUCAGCUCUCAGAAGCGUCAUCAGAAAGGAGAAAGGGCUGCUAACGGCGCUGGCAAGGCGGAGACACGAUUGCGUGGUGAGGUGGCAAGAGCUGAGAGAGGGCUGCUCCAGCCAGUGGAAGGAACCUAGCCUUGGGGUGAAACUAUCCUGGAAUCAAAUCCUGAUGCUGCACCUCCACUGUCACCUGUGUGAGCAACUCAACCUCUCUGGGCCUCAGUUUCCUCAUCUGUAAGGAAACGUCAUGUACUGUACUUUACAGCAUCAUUAUAUGAAGAAGCCGCCAAAAGAAGUCCUCCAAUGUAUACAAGCCAAAGAACGGCAAAAUGUAGGUCUGCUGUCCCCUGAGGAGCUGCAUGGACUCACACCCCAGAGACCGCACCACGGCUCCUGUCCCUCCUGCCCCCUCGGCCCCACCAGUGCCCACUGGAGUGGUCACUGCUCUCCAGCUGACAGCCCCCAUCCCCGGGCCCAGUGGACGGCAGCCACAGGCACCUGCCAGGACAGGGGGCAGGGCCAUGACACCUCCCUGCCACCCCCCUGCCCCCAAACUCCUGCAUUCAGCUUGCUGACAGGUCUCGAUGCUCUGACACCUUCUCUGGCUCCUCCCCACCAUCAAGACAGAAUGGUCUGGCAUUUAGGGCCCUUCAGGGUCUGGUUUUAUUUUACAUUGAAAAUGGGAUUUUGACCAUUAAAUUUUCUUGCAGAAUAAAGUGGAUAAACAGGAAGACAAUCUAUAUCUGGUUACCACAGUUAAUUGUUUGCUGUUUCCUAGUGUUUUCUCUCUUGAUUUUCCAGGAACUUCUAGGAAGAGAAGCGUGUCAUCCACAAAUAACUAUGUCAAUUCCUUGCCAACAUUUAUAGUUCUGUACCCAUCAGAAAUUCUCUUUGCAAACAACAGAAACCAGAUCUACUUAAACUAACACUGGAAGGCUACUGGCAGAAUCAAAC